rnacentral:misc_RNA from 1 species
CAACAACAGCGUCGGGUCAAAAUUGUUAAGACUAUCGGAUUGGAUUGGAAUCACUCUCUAUACUGCAAGACGAACAACGGAAGCAACGUGAACUGGAG